GGGGCUGACCGGUUUUGACAGCGAGAUGAAAUGGUUUGUAAGCAUGCAGCGCAUGGUCGGCUGGCGCUAUAAUCUUAGACGGCAAAAAAUUAACUGGCAACGAAAAUUAUGCUCUUGCUGCUUAAUCGAAGUAUAGUAGAUUGUUAGCUUAAUCCUUGCACAGGUGCAGGGACAAGACAUCACCCGGAAGCUGUGGCUUCGAAGCGUUCCGAUACGGUGGUGCAGGUAAAUCGGAGAUAGACUGCCGGAUGCUUCGGACAGCAGUCGAAAAUGAAGAAGAUAAGGUUAGGGUUGGUAGCUCCGGUCUUGCCCUUUCCCGACAAUUAAAGCGGAGAUAAGCAUGUAGAAAGCAGAUUAGUUCCUUGUUUGGACGAGGGUUCAACUCCCUCCAGCUCCACGA
rnacentral:tmRNA from 1 species